CCAGCAGCCGCGGUAAUACGGGAGUGGCAAGCGUUAUCCGGAAUUAUUGGGCGUAAAGCGUCCGCAGGCGGUCUGUCAAGUCUGCUGUUAAAGCGUGGAGCUUAACUCCAUUUCGGCAGUGGAAACUGACAGACUAGAGUGUGGUAGGGGCAGAGGGAAUUCCCGGUGUAGCGGUGAAAUGCGUAGAUAUCGGGAAGAACACCAGUGGCGAAGGCGCUCGGCUGGGCCAUAACUGACGCUCAUGGACGAAAGCCAGGGGAGCGAAAGGGAUUAGAUACCCCUGUAGUCCUGGCCGUAAACGAUGAACACUAGGUGUCGGGGGAAUCGACCCCCUCGGUGUCGUAGCCAACGCGUUAAGUGUUCCGCCUGGGGAGUACGCACGCAAGUGUGAAGCUCAAAGGAAUUGACGGGGGCCCGCACAAGCGGUGGAGUAUGUGGUUUAAUUCGAUGCAACGCGAAGAACCUUACCAGGGUUUGACAUCCUGCGAAUCUCUUGGAAACGAGAGAGUGCCUUCGGGAACGCAGUGACAGGUGGUGCAUGGCUGUCGUCAGCUCGUGUCGUGAGAUGUUGGGUUAAGUCCCGCAACGAGCGCAACCCACGUCCGUUAGUUGCCAGCAUUUAGUUGGGCACUCUAGCGAGACCGCCGGUGAUAAACCGGAGGAAGGUGUGGAUGACGUCAAGUCAUCAUGCCCCUUACAUCCUGGGCUACACACGUACUACAAUGCUACGGACAAAGGGCAGCAAACUCGCGAGAGCUAGCAAAUCCCAUAAACCGUGGCUCAGUUCAGAUCGUAGGCUGCAACUCGCCUACGUGAAGGAGGAAUCGCUAGUAAUCGCAGGUCAGCAUACUGCGGUGAAUACGUUCCCGGGCCUUGUACACACCGCCCGUCACACCAUGGAAGUUGGCCACGCCCGAAGCCGUUACUCCAACCCUUGUGGAGGAGGACGUCGAAGGUGGGGCUGAUGACUGGGGUGAAGUCGUAACAAGGUAGCCGAU
rnacentral:rRNA from 1 species